rnacentral:rRNA from 1 species
UACAGAGGGUGCAAGCGUUAAUCGGAGUUACUGGGCGUAAAGGGCGCGUAGGCGGUUGUUUAAGUUUGAUGUGAAAUCCCUGGGCUUAACCUAGGAACUGCGUCAGAUACUGGGCAACUAGAGUAUUGUAGAGGGUAGUGGAAUUUCCGGUGUAGCGGUGAAAUGCGUAGAGAUCGGAAGGAACACCAGUGGCGAAGGCGGCUACCUGGACCUGUACUGACGCUCAUGCACGAAAGCGUGGGGAGCAAACAGG